UACCAGCUCUUCGAGUGGUGUGGAUGUUUAUUGGGCCUAAAGCAUCCGUAGCUGGCUGGGCAAGUCCCCUAUUAAAUCCACCGAUUUAAUCGUUGGAGUGCGGGGGAUACUGUUCGGCUAGGGGACGGGAGAGGCAGACGGUAUUUUCGGGGUAGGGGUGAAAUCCUAUAAUCCCGGGAAGACCACCAGUGGCGAAGGCUGUCUGCUAGAACGCGCCCGACAAUGAGGGAUGAAAGCUGGGGGAGCGAACCGGAUUAGAUACCCGGGUAGUCCCAGCUGUAAACGAUGCAGGCUAGGUGUUUGGGCGGCCACGUGCCGCUCUAGUGCCGCAGGGAAGCCGUUAAGCCUGCCGCCUGGGGUUAGUACGGGCCGCAAGGGCUAGAAACUUAAGGAAUUGGGCGGGGGAGCACCACGAAGGGGUGAAGCUUGCGGUUU
rnacentral:rRNA from 1 species